UUACCAGUUCUCACACACUGUAAAACAAAGAACUCGAUCUUAAUAACUUUGAUAAAAUGAAUUCAUCCAGAUUUUUAUUCUAUUACGUUACAUUAUGGUGUUGCAAUUAUGUUGCCGAAGUGCAAUCAGCGAAGCAAAAAGCUUUAACUUUCAAUCCACAAACAAAAGAACUUGUGGACAUAAAUCCUGAGGAUGGGGAUCCGACAAUAAUCCUUCCUUAUAUCACUGCUUGUCCAGCAUCCUCAGAUUCAAAAGAUGAAGCAAUAUUCAAUCAACACGCAUCUGUUACUGGAAACAGCCUAUUUUUACAAAAAGUUUACAACGAUGAACAAUCAGCAGAACACAUGGAGCUGAAUGUUUGCGACCAACCACCUGUACCUCAAUUGGUUUAUAAUGAUUCAGAUAACGUUUUCCACAUUGGUUAUGAGUUGUUCUACGAUGCAAAAGAAUUAAUAGACCAGGAGGGCUAUGACCAGUAUUUCAAUUUACACCCAGUAAAAAAUGU